UUUAUUUUUCAGUAGGGUGACUUGACUUUUUGAGAUUCCUUCAUUUAAAAUAAAUAAAAUCAGGCACCUCAGGAAUUCUAAAAUCAGAUAGCCCUAGGCCUACAGACAAACAUUAAAAUAAGCAUUUUUCAAAGGUUGGCCUACCUACAGAAGAGAAACAAUCUGACAACAGGUAAUUGGUCAAAUGAGUGUGUUGAAUGAGGAUAAUUCAAUGGCCAAAAGCAGAGGCCAAUCAUAAAGUGGUGAUUUUGCACAGUGUGCAGUUUAGAACUCUGACCUUUGCUCAGACUAGAAUGAACUAAAAAUGACCUUUUCAGAGGAAAUCCCACUGUAAUGCUCCAAAUAAAACAAGCUCUUGUUUUCCACUACCACACUGAGAAAAAACAACAGGUGAAGAUGUAUGCAAUAGGUUUUCCUACAAUGUUGGGGGCUGGGCAGUGAACUCAUCUCAAAUGAGAGACAAUUGUUUCCUUAUACAAUUACACAGGGAACAGAUACAGGUUGGUGAUACUAAGCCAGUUUAGGCCUAUUUCCUGUCUAGGCUUGAUCAAUUUCCCCAUUUAACUGGCUAUCUCUUCUCAAGUCUCACAAUGAUCAGCCCCUCCACUGCAGCAUCUGACUUUGUAAGGCUAGGGCGGGGGUCUCUCUCUAUCAAGCGAACUGGUAGUUUAUUUGAGGUCCACCUGCAGCAAGCAAAAAGGUCAUCAGGCUGCUGAUUAUCCCGCACACCUGUCACCAUCGUCUCGCACACCUGCGCCUCAUGACACUAACCUGGACUCCAUCACCUCCUUGAUUAUCCUCCCUGUGUCUGUCACUCCCCUUGGUGUCACUCCUCAGGUGUUAUUGACUCUGUUUUGCGAUCCCCAGUAUGGCUGAAAAUAUGAAUGUGUCAUCUAUAUCCAGCCUUGCAGGCCUUGUUGAACAGGUGGUGUCUUCUAAUCUAGAGGAACCUAACCUUUCAACCACAAUAGCAGGUUAUGUUGUGGAGAAAUGUGGCUGCAACAAAACAUUGAUUCUGAAGACCUCAAUGGGAUUAACAAAAAUGUGUAACUAGGUCAUUUAAUAUGUGAAUAAUUUUAUAAAUACAAA